GUGGGGAAUCUUCCGCAAUGGACGAAAGUCUGACGGAGCGACGCCGCGUGAGUGAUGAAGGCCUUCGGGUCGUAAAGCUCUGUCAUCGGGGACGAAUGGUCGUUGGAGUGGAAAGUCAGCGAAAUGACGGUACCCGAGAAGGAAGCCACGGCUAACUACGUGCCAGCAGCCGCGGUAAUACGUAGGUGGCAAGCGUUGUCCGGAAUUAUUGGGCGUAAAGCGCGCGCAGGUGGGAUCUUAAGUCCAUUUUGAAAGUUCGGAGCUCAACUCCGUGAUGGGAUGGAAACUGGGAUUCUUGAGUACCGGAGAGGAAAGCGGAAUUCCCCGUGUAGCGGUGAAAUGCGUAGAUAUGGGGAGGAACACCAGUGGCGAAGGCGGCUUUCUGGACGGUGUCUGACACUGAGGCGCGAAAGCCAGGGGAGCGAACGGGAUUAGAUACCCCGGUAGUCC
rnacentral:rRNA from 1 species